UACGGAGGGUGCAAGCGUUAUCCGGAUUCACUGGGCUUAAAGGGUGCGUAGGCGGGCAGGUAAGUCAGUGGUGAAAUCUCCAAGCUUAACUUGGAAACUGCCGUUGAUACUAUCUGUCUUGAAUGUUGUGGAGGUGAGCGGAAUAUGUCAUGUAGCGGUGAAAUGCUUAGAUAUGACAUAGAACACCAAUUGCGAAGGCAGCUCACUACUCAAUCAUUGACUCUGAGGCACGAAAGCGUGGGGAGCAAACAGG
rnacentral:rRNA from 1 species